UCACUUAUUAAAGACAGUAUUUUGGCAUUUCAACAGGGGCAAACAUUUAGAAUACCUUAAUAAUGUUGGCUCGCCUUAUUCCAGCUGUCUUUGCAUUUUAAAAUGACAAAUUACAAUGGAUUAACAUGACCGAGUUGGGAACUAGCUUAUAUGUGUGGUCAACGUUCAACAAAUUAAGACUAACAAGCUCAUGUUAGUUAACUCAAACUCAACAGCACGACGAGCUGUUAAUACAGUGUGGAGGGGUGAUUAUUUUGUAGUCUUUAUGAAACUACUAGCUACUCAAGUACUUAAGUUAGCUAGCUACUGAUAUUGUAUUCUUGCAGCCGCACGGUCGACUUUAAGAGGACAUUUGAAUCGGUUACAUUUAUCUAUUUUAUGCAGUCAUCUGUUGAUUUAAGUUAGCUGAUCUCAGGUCUGCUGAAACUCGCAGCCACGCCUCCAUUUGACUCGUUCAGAACAACAUGACUCAAGCUAAAGCACGAGGGAAGCAUUGAAGCUAACGGCGCAGUGCGGUCGUCCUGCGCUGAGAGCCAGAGGAGCAGGACGUGUUUACUGGGCUCGAUCACACCAGACGCGCCUCUCAAAAACGCGUCGCCCGCUAAACCAUUGAUUCCCUAUGGGGCCAUGCUACUGAAGGCGAAACUCGGGGGUGUCCAAACAUUUGGCCGAAUAACGGAACCAACUCUGAGGGAGUUUUUGGCUGCAGCAUUUGCAAAGUUUGGUGUGCCAGCCAUAACCGAAGGGGUGAAAGUUGUUGACGGUACGGGAACUGAGUUGGAUGACGAUGUGUUUGAGGACGUAGUGAAGGAUCCAUCAACUGGGGCGCUAACCAUCAAAUAUGACACAGUCACAACCAUCAGCCCUGGAUUCCUCAGACUCGCAGGAUACAAUGAUCCUUUCUGAAAGCCCUUCUGGAAGACGCCAGAGGCUAAGCAGGAGCAUUAUUAUGAUGGUCAGAGUGGGACUGGGUACCUCGCCUGGAGGAUUAAAACUAUUCAGAGAUGCACUGCUAAAGACAGACGAUCAGCAUUUGGAGAUGGUGUUUAAUCAGCCAAAGGACCAUCUGGUGAUGACAUGUCUGGAGGACCAACUGUCAGACGAGAGUCCGAGUUUCUUCCAGAGACUGUCCCGAGCGACGAUGAAUGUAAAGAAGCCAUCUCAUUGAUGAAAUAUUCUGCUGAUGAGGACACACUCAAGAAAAAGAUGAAACUGACAUUUGUCUAUCGCCGCAACAUGAUCCUUGACCCCCAGCAGUCAAGGGACAUCCUGUCCGACUUUCCGCGUUUUAAAGAUGUCAAAGUCUUGGUUGAACAGGAUUUCGUUCUGAUGUUUGGAGAGGAUACAUCAGACAAGCUUCUGGAGAAGUGGCCAACCACAUUUAAGAAAAAGAUCAUCAAACAAUGCAGAAAGCUUGAGGAACACCUUCUGGCAGCUGAUCCUUCUGAGGAUGGCACUGAAGUGGAUGUGGACUUUGGUUGGGACGGGGACCUGUCCUCGCUUCUACUGUUGCUGCACCUGAUUCCACCUUCUGCUCAGGGUCGGAAGAAACCAGGAAAGGUGUCUGCAUCCCAAGCAGAGAAGCAUCUUGUGGUAUUCAAGAAGGUUAUUCAUUUUUCUAAUUUUAAAAUCCCACCACUGAUAAUUUACAUUUCUUACUAUAGUGCCCAAUACUGAUAAGCUUUAAAAACGUUACACUGACAUUAGCCAAAAAGCAUCAAAGUUGUAAGGGGAUGUAUUGGGAGUCUUUCAGCAAGGGAAGAUUAACUUUAGGUCCAGGAACGAUGGUGACACUUCAUGAGCUAAAAGAGGGUUCAGAGAUUGCUUUCAAACUUGGAGCUGGAUCAUCUCCCAGUGUGUUUUCUGCGAAGUGGAUAAAACAUGGUACAGAGUACCGCCCCAACUUCAUUAUCUGUACUGAGGUAGCCUGUGUUUAGUAAGAUAAGGACUAUUGUUGUUAAAGAUGACUGUGUAUUACUCUGUGUAAACUUGCUGGAAACCAUGUGUUUUGAUCAGCAUUACCAUGCCUUUAAGGUUAGGCUGCAUCCUGACAGGCUUGUCAAGGUAUUGCACAUAAAUGACCUGUUAUAUAAUAAACCAUUUGAUCUUCAAAUGCAGUACGGCAUGGCAGACUCCUCCUUGUACAUUGUCCUUUCUUGCCAUUUUAUGCAGAUCUAAGGUCAAUGUUUUGUAUUGUUGCCCUGCACAAUAAAGAAAUGUGAAAUGCA